GGACGACUGUAGCUCAGUGGUAGGGCAUCUGCCUUGCAUGCAGAAGGCCCCAGGUUCAAUCCUUGGCAUCUCCA